GACGAACGCUGGCGGCGUGCUUAACACAUGCAAGUCGAGCGGUAAGGCCCUUUCGGGGGUACACGAGCGGCGAACGGGUGAGUAACACGUGGGUGACCUGCCCUCAGCUCUGGGAUAAGCCUGGGAAACCGGGUCUAAUACUGGAUAUGACUCCAUGACGCAUGUUGUGGGGUGGAAAGCCUUGUGCGGCUGAGGAUGGGCCCGCGGCCUAUCGGCUUGUUGGUGGGGUGAUGGCCUACCAAGGCUACGAUGGGUAGCUGGUCUGAGAGGAUGAUCAGCCACACUGGCACUGAGACACGGGCCAGACUCCUACGGGAGGCAGCAGUGGGGAAUUUGCGCAAUGGGCGAAAGCCUGACGCAGUAACGCCGCGUGGAGGAUGAAGGCCU
rnacentral:rRNA from 1 species